AUUGAACGCUGGCGGCAUGCCUUACACAUGCAAGUCGAACGGCAGCACGGGAGCAAUCCUGGUGGCGAGUGGCGAACGGGUGGGUAAAGUAUCGGAACGUGCCCAGUCGUGGGGGAUAACGUAGCGAAAGUUACGCUAAUACCGCAUACGAUCUAUGGAUGAAAGCGGGGGAUCGCAAGACCUCGCGCGAUUGGAGCGGCCGAUAUCAGAUUAGGUAGUUGGUGGGGUAAAGGCUCACCAAGCCGACGAUCCGUAGCUGGUCUGAGAGGACGACCAGCCACACUGGGACUGAGACACGGCCCAGACUCCUACGGGAGGCAGCAGUGGGGAAUUUUGGACAAUGGGCGAAAGCCUGAUCCAGCCAUGCCGCGUGCAGGAUGAAGGCCUUCGGGUUGUAAACUGCUUUUGUACGAAACGAAAAGGUUUGGCCUAAUAAGCUGAGCUCAUGACAGUACCGUAAGAAUAAGCACCGGCUAACUACGUGCCAGCCGCCGCCGUAA
rnacentral:rRNA from 1 species